rnacentral:rRNA from 1 species
UACGUAGGGUGCAAGCGUUGUUCGGAAUUACUGGGCGUAAAGCGCACGUAGGCGGUCUUUUAAGUCGGGGGUGAAAUCCUGGAGCUCAACUCCAGAACUGCCUCGAUACUGGAAGACUUGAGUCCGGGAGAGGUGAGUGGAACUGCGAGUGUAGAGGUGAAAUUCGGUAGAUAUUCGCAAGAACACCAGUGGCGAAGGCGGCUCACUGGCCCGGUACUGACGCUGAGGUGCGAAAGCGUGGGGAGCAACAGGG